CUGACCCAGGACAACGAGCCAGAGUAUGAGCCAGGCGGACUCCCAGAGGUGGUCAGAAAAGGCUUUGCUGAUAUUCCUACUGGGAAAACCAACCCCUGUGUUUUGCGCAGAACAGCGCUAAACCUAAAGACCAGUGCCCGUCUUGCUGCUCAAAGCCAAAAUUUGUCACCAUAUGGCCAACGUUUACAAAAAGGCAGGUCAGCUAAUUUUGCCAAGAUCUCUAAACCGACAGCUGGUGGCAGCAAAUCACCAAAGGUAGAUGAUACUCAGCAGUGCCAAGCAGAAACAGCUAUUGAACCCAUGGAAUCUAGUUCAAG